rnacentral:rRNA from 1 species
GGGUGAAAUCUGGUGCCGUUGGUUUAGGUAGUUGGGCGUUAACUUGAGAAGUCUUUAAGCUACUAAGGUCUAGAUUUAAAACAGGAUUAGAUACCCCGUUAUACUAGAUUGAAAAUAUACCACUUGAGUAGUAAACAGUUAUAUUCUCGAAACUUAAAGGAUUUGGCGGUAUCUUAGUCUCGUUAGAGGAAUCUGUUCUAUAAACGAUAAACCACGAAGUAUCUUACUUUUUCUUGUAUUUCAGUUUGUAUACCGCCAUUAUCAGAUAGUUUUUAUAAAAAUCUAUUAGAAUAGUAAAAAGCUAGUAUAUUAGGUCUAGGUGCAGCUAAUGAGGGAGUGGGUAAUGGAUUACAAUGUUAUGGGUAGAUUACGAAUUGACAAGUGAACAUUUGUUUUGAAGGUGGAUUUAAUAGUAAAAUUUAUUUAAUAAGUGAGUUUGAUAGGAGCUCUAAGAUAUGUA